CAAGUGAUCCUCCUGUGCUAGCCUCUCAAGCAGCUAGGACUACAGUUUUACUUGCUUCCAACAGGAAGGCAAGUUUUCCUCCUUCCAUGACGAUGAAAGGCAGGUAACUCCUUUAUGGAAUUUGAGCUGGCUUCCAACAGGGAAGAUGAGGUUUUUUUUCCUGCCUCUAGAAUAGUAGAGAGCAGUCUACAGCCUGAGACCCAUCACUAGGACACAAUUGAAGAAACUGGUAGUUUUACCAAGGCUUUGACUGGAAUGGUGCACUUUCCUAUAAGGAAUCAAACUUGACUUAAGAAGCCAAUAAAGCCCUUGGAAAAACUGGCCUCAUAUUUUGUGUACACAGUCCGUGUACAGGGUUUCUGGCCUGUGGACAUGAGACUUCACAACCUGCUAAAAAUCUUCGUUCGGGACCUACCUGUCUAGGAAUAAACCAUCCUUGCCAUGAGAGAUCAAAUGAAACCUGAGACCAGAGAUUCAUUUUCUUGUAAAAUGCCUUCUCCAAAAGAUUUUUGAAAAGAAAGGGGGGAAAUAUGAAAGGAAAUUAAAGCUUGGGGCCCCCAAAUCACUAAGCUAAAGGGAAUAGUCAAGCUGGGAACUGCUUAGGGCAAAGCUGCCUCCCAUUCUAUUCAAAGUCACCCCUGUGCUCACUGAGAUAGAUGCAUAUCUGAUUGCCUCCUUUGGAAAGGCUAACAGAAUCUCAAAAGAAUGUAACCAUUUGUGUAUCACCUAUCUGUGACCUGGAAGCCUCCUCCCCACUUCAAGUCUUCCUGCCUUUCCAGACUGAACCAAUGUACUUCUUACAUAUAUUGAUUGAUGUCUCAUGCCUCCCUAAAAUGUAUAAAACUAAGCUGUACCCCAACCACCUUGGGCACAGGUCUUCAGGACUUCCUGAGGCUGUCACGGACACAUGUCCCCAACCUUGGCAAAAUAAACAAUUAACUGAGACCUGUCUCAAAUUUUCAGAGUUCACAGUAUUUUGAAACCAAAAUCUGGACACAAGAUGUGCCCAUUGCUAUGGGGGUGUCAUUGCCUCUAGGCCCUCUCAGUGGACAGCGUGAGGUAUAGCACUAGGUAAUAUUUGUGUGUAUACCGACUCAUGUAUAUACACAUAUUUCUGUCUAUAUAUAUACCAAGCUAGCUAACCAACUCUAAUCCACUACCCAAGGGCUCAUUCUAUUUUUCCCUCCUUGCUUAUAUGUUACUUCUCUUUCUGAUAGUGAAAACCCUUCCUCCCAAAAUCCACUAUACAUUUACUUAUUUGUUCAGCCCCAGUACAUAUGUAAAGCCGUUUGAGAACUAUUAACCCAUAUACCAUGAGAAACAGACUUACCAGCUAGAGUAUAGUGUUUACAUACAGUACGUGGACCUUUUUUUUUUUUUGGACAGAGUUUUCUUGUUCUCAGGCUGGAGUGCCAUGGCGCGAUCUCGGCUCACUGCAACCUCUGCUUCCCAGGUUCAAGUGAUUCUCCCGCUUCAGCUUCCCUAGUGGCUGGG
rnacentral:lncRNA from 1 species